UAUCUUUAUAAUUUUACUAUCAAAUCCAAUUUCAUUAAAUUUUUCAUAUUUAAAUUCACAUAAAUAAACUUUAUUGUAACUCAUUUAUACUUAAAAAUAAACUACACCUUGAUUUGAUAUUAAUUUUAAUAUAAAUUAUAGAAAAUUAUUAUUCUUAUAAAAUAUUCUAAUAACAACGGUAUAUAAAUUGAUUCACAAUUUUAAGUAAGGUACAUCGGGGAUUAUCGAUUAUAAAACAAGUUCCUCUGAAUAGACUAAAAUACCGCCAAAUUUUUUAAGUUUCAAGCAUAUAUCUAAU
rnacentral:rRNA from 1 species